rfam:Ipomoea nil DNA, scaffold: scaffold2283, cultivar: Tokyo-kokei standard.
GUGGGCGUGCCGGAGUGGUUAUUGGGCAUGACUAGAAAUCAUGUGGGCUUUUCCCGCGUAGGUUUGAAUCCUGCCGCUCACG